rnacentral:misc_RNA from 1 species
AUUCCACAUGUGCAAAAAAUUGAACAGUCUAUUUAAGCACUGUAAAGAUUAACAAUAAGCACUCAUAAGUUAACACAUUCUCUAGCAUUUAUAAAAACAACUCUUUAGGGACAUUGCGCCUAAUAAGCGAUAAACUAAACUCUUUAUUACACUCAAUAAAAUGUAAUCAAGAAAGGUAUGAUAAACCUAUCAGCCGUAAAUCCAUGCUAGAGAAUGUAUCAACUUCAGCCGGUGUCUUUGCCACAAUUGACAGUGCAUGCAAGCCACUCUGUAAUUCUUCUUGCAACAAACCAUAAAUGAGCCUAUGCCUCUUCACCAAGCUCUUCCCUUCAAAUUCUUUUGAUACAACUUUCAAAUUAAAAUGUGUUUCACCAUCACUUCCUCCCACACCAGCAUGCCCUGCAUGCUGAUAAGAGAUAUCCUCCACUUCUAACUCAAUGGGAGUUAACUCUCUCUCCAAUAUCUCCUUAAUUCUUUUUCCUCUACUCCCUAAAUUAUCUGAAUCCUUGCUGCCGCCACCACCACCAUCACCAACUUUCGAUUCUGAACUCGAAACAAAAUUUUCAUUCGAAUUCAUUCCAGUGCUCGAAUUCUCAACACCACCAUCACUAUUUGAACCUUUUACUUCAUUCUCAAUACUCUCCCUUUUAUUACUCAAUCCAUCACUUAAAUUUUCACUGCCAACAUUCCCAGAAUUCGACCCAUAACCCAGCCCACUACACUUCUCAGCCUCCAAAUACAACUCAAGUGCCUUCUUUUGCAUCAAUUUCAACAUAUUCAAGAACCCAUUAUUCCUCGAAGGGGUCAAACUCUGUUGCAACCCAAGAAGCACCACAAAAUCUGGCGAAACCCUCAAAACCUCAUCCACGGGCCGCCCCGACAGCCCUUGAACAAGCAAAGCUGCAAGCCCCUUUGUCAGAACCGAAUCCGAAUCAGCCUCAAAUACAACAUUCUUAUCGAUAUCUAAACAUGCCCGGACCCAAACUUGAGAUACACAACCCUCUACUUUGUUCUCUUUCGUUUUAAAUUGGGCAUCGAGUGGUUUCAAGUUUUUGCCAUAAAAAAGGAGCUGCUCGUAUUUAGCCUUGGGUUCCUCAACAGACUGGAAGAGCUUGACAAUUUCUUGAAGCUUUGGAGGGAGUUCUUCAAUGGGUUGGAGAGAAGCAGCUCUUGAUACUGAUACAAAGGCUGGUGAUGGCUUUUUUGUUGGGAUUUUUUCGAAAGAAAUGGGCCUAGAGAAAACAUAGAAAGAUAGAUUUACGGGUUUCACAGUAGACAUUAGGGGUUUUGUUGAAUAAGUAGAUAUUGAAACUCUGGUGGCGAAUAAGCGGACAGAAGAAGAGAUUGAAGCAGACAUGGUUGCUGAAACAAACGACUCCAGAACCUGAGAGCAGAAGAGGACCUAUUUCUGAGGAAGGAAGGCCGCGCCGCCCUUGAAAAAAUUUAUACAUAUUUAAAGGCGAAGGCAAAAUGCAUUUGGACG